ensembl:lncRNA
AUGGCUGCUGCUCAGGCACAGCAGGGCUAUGAGAGCUUCAAUAUCCCCUUUGAAAGAUUAAAUGGAGCCAAUUGGGAGGACUGGUCCAAACACAUGUAUUAUUGGCUGGAAGGAAAGCAGCUGUGGGAAUGCACGCAGGCCGAUCCAGUCGUGGCCGGGCCCAAUGCAGCAGCUGCAGAUGUGGAGAGGGCUGCAGCGGCGGCAAAGAAAGACAAGAAGGCCAUGUCCCAUGUGGUGAUGGCGAUUGAAGCGUCGCAGCUCCCUCAUAUUGAUGGCUUACGUACCUGUCAUCAGAUUUGGUCUGCUCUGACUAGAAUACAUCAGAGGACCACAGCUGGCGCAAAGAUCCAAGUGAUACGUUCUCUGUUUGAGAAGAGGCUGUCCCAAGGGGAACCGAUAAGGGAUCACAUUGCUCAGAUGCUGACUAUCUUCAGUAAGCUGCGUCAGCUCAAUGUGCCCUUCCCAGAUGAACUUAAGGCUUAUACGCUUUUAAGCUCUUUGGACAGGAGUUAUGAGAACUUGGUUCUAAUGAUGGAAACGAUGCCGCCGCAGGAUCUUACGAUUGAAUAUAUUAGCGGACGCUUGAUUGACGUAGAAUCAAAGCGGCAGAGGGCUGUGAAAGAGGACACAGGCUGCACCCCAAGAAGGAGUGGGGGGGCAGCAGCCAGGAGUGGUGAGGACUGUGUGAGAGCCUUUGUUUCCAAGAGAUGCUAUCGGUGUGGCAGCAACACACACUUGGUCCGCAAUUGUCCACUAGAGGCGCAGGAUGGUGCCAAGGACACCGGCCGGCGUGGAACGUCAACAAAGCAAGUUCCCAGAGCCAGACGUGGGAAAGCUGCAGGCCAGGAGAAAAACAAAGACAAUGCGUCUUUUCACCUCACAGCUGCGAUGGUGUCUCUGGGAAAAGACAAAAGUCUCAGUCGAGGGGAGGCUGCAACCAUGGCAACCAGGAAGGACACUUGCAGAAGCCCCGGUGUGGGUGCGAGCAGCACCAUGGCAACUUUGGAAGACAGCCAGAGAGGCACUUUACCUUUCGUGGUGGACUCAGGUGCUACUCACAAUCUCGUGAAUUCACAGGAGCUCCUGAGAAACUGCAAGACAGUUAAAACUGAACGUUAUGUUCACUUAGCGGAUGGGUCUCGGAGACCACUGACUGAAUCUGGGUCUUUAUAUUGUUCUUUUCUAGAUUGUGAGGUGCAAGCUUUUUCUGUUCCAGAGCUUGCCCACUCUCUUUUGAGUGUGUCAGCAUUAAUGGCUAUUGGAUUCGAUGUUUUGUUCUCUAACAAUUUGUGUUCCUUUUACAGGGAUGGGAAGAAGAUCUACAGUGUUGAGAGGAAAGACAGGCUCUUUCUGGUGGAGAUGCCUAUUGAAAAUGGGGUUGGUGGAAAAAUGGGACUGGUGGAAAAUGGGGCUAGUGGAGAGUCCAUUGAAGAUGCACAAGUGCAGUGUGCAAACAUCCCACCACACAAUGAUUGUAUUCACAUGUGGCACAGGAAAUUUGGACACGCGGGGUGGUCGCUUGUGAAAAAAGCCGCAGAGAACACAGUUGGGUGUAGGUUCAAGGCAUGUGGCAGAUACCUAGAUUGUCAAGCCUGUAAGCAAUCGAAGGUCACAACAUGCACCUACCCCAGGUCAGAGAGGAGAACCAGCAAACCCUUUGAGUUGGUGCAUGCAGAUUUAUCAGGUCCCAUGCCAACACCUUCUUUAGCUGGCUCUAAAUGGAUUCUGGUUCUGAUUGACAAUUUUUCUAGACAUACUUGGUUUUUCUCACUGAGACAGAAGUCAGAAGCAGCUGCACUGAUCAGAGAUUGGAUCACAGCGGUAGAGCUCCGGUUCUCUACCAGGGUGAUUUCCUUUCAAUCUGAUCGCGGGGGGGAGUUCACAGGUUCUGCGCUGCAAUCGUUUUUCAGGCAGAAAGGUAUCAGUCAUCGAUUGACGGCCCCCUGCUCUCCGCAACAGAAUGGGGUUGCAGAGAGAAAAUUUCGCACACUACAGGAAUCUGCAAACGCAAUGCUGGCAGAUUCAGGGUUGCCACAGCGCUUUUGGGCUGAAAGUUAUAAGACAGCAUGCUUUCUGCAGAAUCGGGUGUACAAUUCCAGUGUAGGCAACACACCGUUUUUCUUGUUGCAUCAGAAGAAGCCGAAGGUGCACUACUUCCACGUUUUUGGAUGUCAGGCUUGGGUUCUCAUUCCAAAGGCCAUGCGCAGAAAGGGUGAGCCAAGGUCUAGGAAGAUGAUCUUUGUAGGCUAUGAGCCGGGUUCAAAGGCGUGGCGUUUCGCAUACCCUACUGGCAACCAGUCUAAGCUGCUCAUUAGCGGCAGUGCUGAGUUUUGCGAGCAGAGUGGGUGGAAACGUCUUCACGGGAACCCGGAUGUUCUGUCAGACUCAGAUGAGGAAGAGGAGGAGGAUGAGGCUGAACCUGUUGCUGAGGUGCACGGUCCACAGCCACAGAGUCCAGAGUCGGGUUCUCCAAGGGAGAGGCUGCGUAUCUCUCCAAAAGGGAGUCCCAGGACCCCUCCACAGGUUUCUGUCAAGUCUGAGCCAAGGAGUGAGCCAUCCACACCAGCAGAACCAGCUGUACGCCCAAAAUGGCGCAGCAGGUCAGAGGAGGAGGUUUGA